rnacentral:lncRNA from 1 species
UUUGACCAACUUAUAAAAACACCUUAUGGGUCCCACCUUUCUCUAUCUCGCUCUCCAUUUCUCUGCCAAAGCUCGCCGACAAACCAGACCCCCCAACACACCCAUCUCUCAUGCCAUGCCACCUGCCCUCUCCACCAGACAAACAUAAAAAUUUGUUUCCCAGAUCGUCACCUUCCAUCUCCCCUUCCGCCCUAUAUUUUCUUUUCUUCUCUUUUUAUUAUUCUCAAAUCUUAAAAGCUUAUAGUGUGCUCCAAUAAGAUGUUCAAGCAUGAUCAGGACCUAUCAGUGAAGAAACUCAUUGGAGUUUGGUCGGAAAAAGCUUCGGCAACUUCUCCUUUCUCUAUCUUGCCUCAGUGAAGAUAAUCAUCGGAAUAUGGUGGAAAAUCUGGCUUCAUUGGUGGUUUUAGAUCUAUUGGGACCUUUGGUUCGUUAGAAUCCAUUUAUGAAUCCAAUCUGAUGAUUUGAAGAUGGAGAGACCAACACUUGAUCAGAUAUUCUUUAAUCAUUUUUACCCUUUUAUUAGAGUUUGAUCAGGAAAAAAAGAAGAAGAGUAUUUUGUCCACUUUUUCUGAUCUGCCAAAGACAUUGCAACUUGUUGUUUAAAUUAAAAUUGGUUAAAUAUUUGUGCCUUUAAUUUGGAAAGUUAGAACUCCG